rnacentral:rRNA from 1 species
AACAAACGCUGGCGGCGUGCCUAACACAUGCAAGUCGUACGAGAAAGUCCGCUUCGGUGGGCAAGUAAAGUGGCGCACGGGUGAGUAACGCGUGGAUAAUCUACCCUUUAGUCUGGAAUAACUUAUCGAAAGGUGAAUUAAUACCGGAUAAUAUCCCGAAUUCUCCGGAAAUCGGGAUCAAAGAAGGCCUCUGCUUGCAUGCUUUUGCUGAAGGAUGAGUCCGCGUACCAUUAGCUAGUUGGUAGGGUAACGGCCUACCAAGGCAACGAUGGUUAGCUGGUCUGAGAGGAUGAUCAGCCACACUGGAACUGAGACACGGUCCAGACUCCUACGGGAGGCAG